rnacentral:rRNA from 1 species
ACUCGCGUGCUAUACAUGCAGUCGAGCGAAUGGAUUAAGAGCUUGCUCUUAUGAGUUAGCGGCGGACGGGUGAGUAACACGUGGGUAACCUGCCCAUAAGACUGGGAUAACUCCGGAACCGGGGCUAAUACCGGAUAACAUUAUGAACCGCAUGGUUCGAAAUUGAAAGGCGGCUAGGGCUGUCACUUAUGGAUGGACCCGCGUCGCAUUAGCUAGUUGGUGAGGUAACGGCUCACCAAGGCAACGAUGCGUAGCCGACCUGAGAGGGUGAUCGGCCACACUGGGACUGAGACACGGCCCAGACUCCUACGGGAGGCAGCAGUAGGGAAUCUUCCGCAAUGGACGAAAGUCUGACGGAGCAACGCCGCGUGAGUGAUGAAGGCUUCGGGUCGUAAAACUCUGUUGUUAGGGAAGAACAAGUGCUAGUUGAAUAAGCUGGCACCUACUCGGUACCUAACCAGAAAGCCACGGCUAACUACGUGCCAGCAGCCGCGGUAAUACGUAGGUGGCAAGCGUUAUCCGGAAUUAUUGGGCGUAAAGCGCGCGCAGGUGGUUUCUUAAGUCUGAUGUGAAAGCCCACGGCUCAACCGUGGAGGUCAUUGGAGUGUGGGAGACUUGAGUGCAGAAGAGGAAAGUGGAAUUCCAUGUGUAGCGGUGAAAUGCGUAGAGAUAUGGAGGAACACCAGUGGCGAAGGCGACUUUCUGGUCUGUAACUGACACUGAGCAGCGAAAGCGUGGGGAGCAACAGGAUUAGCAGCCCUGGUAGUCCACGCCGUAAACGAUGAGUGCUAAGUGUUAGAGGGUUUCCGCCCUUUAGUGCUGAAGUUAACGCAUUAAGCACUCCGCCUGGGGAGUACCUACGCAAGGCUGAAACUCAAAGACAUUGACGGACGCCCGCACAAGCGGUGGAGCAUGUGGUUUAAUGGGAAGCAACGCGAAGAACCUUACCAGGUCUUGACAUCCUCUGAGUGCCCUAGAGAUAGGGCUUCUCCUUCGGGAGCAGUCUGACAGGUGGUGCCUCGUUGUCGUCAGCUCUCGUGAGAUGUUGGGUUAAGAGCCGCAGUAAGCGCAACCCUUGAUCUUAGUUGCCAUCAUUAAGUACGCACUCUAAGGUGACUGCCGGUGACAAACCGGAGGAAGGUGGGGAUGACGUCAAAUCAUCAUAUCCCUUAUGACCUGGCUACACACGUGCUACAAUGGACGGUACAAAGAGCUGCAAGACCGCGAGGUGGAGCUAAUCUCAUAUCACCGUUCUCAGUUCGGAUUGUAGGCUGCAACUCGCCUACAUGAAGCUGGAAUCGCUAGUAAUCGCGGAUCAGCAUGCCGCGGUGAAUACGUUCCCGGGCCUUGACCACACCGCCCGUCACACACGAGAGUUUGUAACACCCGAAGUCGGUGGGGUAACCUAGUGGAGCCAGCCGCCUAAGGUGGACA